AGCAAUUAUACCGUGAAACUGCGAAUGGCUCAUUAAAUCAGUUAUCGUUUAUUUGAUAAUACCUUACUACUUGGAUAACCGUGGUAAUUCUAGAGCUAAUACAUGCUGAAAAUCCCGACUUCGGAAGGGAUGUGUUUAUUAGAUAAAAAACCAAUGCCCUUCGGGGCUUUUUGGUGAUUCAUGAUAACUUUACGGAUCGCAUAGCCUUGCGCUGGCGACGGUUCAUUCAAAUUUCUGCCCUAUCAACUUUCGAUGGUAAGGUAUUGGCUUACCAUGGUUUCAACGGGUAACGGGGAAUUAGGGUUCGAUUCCGGAGAGGGAGCCUGAGAAACGGCUACCACAUCCAAGGAAGGCAGCAGGCGCGCAAAUUACCCAAUCCCGACACGGGGAGGUAGUGACAAUAAAUACUGAUACAGGGCUCUUUUGGGUCUUGUAAUUGGAAUGAGUACAAUUUAAACCUCUUAACGAGGAACAAUUGGAGGGCAAGUCUGGGGGGA
rnacentral:rRNA from 1 species